GAUCCUGGCUCAGGAUGAACGCUAGCUACAGGCUUAACACAUGCAAGUCGAGGGGCAGCAUUUUAGUUUGCUUGCAAACUGAAGAUGGCGACCGGCGCACGGGUGAGUAACACGUAUCCAACCUGCCGAUAACUCCGGGAUAGCCUUUCGAAAGAAAGAUUAAUACCGGAUAGCAUACGAAUAUCGCUAUGAUAUUUUUAUUAAAGAAUUUCGGUUAGUCGAUGGGGAUGCGUUCCAGUUAGUUUG
rnacentral:rRNA from 1 species